CCUACGGGAGGCAGCAGUGAGGAAUAUUGGUCAAUGGGCGCAAGCCUGAACCAGCCAUGCCGCGUGCAGGAUGACGGUCCUAUGGAUUGUAAACUGCUUUGUACAGGAAGAAACACUCCCUCGUGAGGGAGCUUGACGGUACUGUAAGAAUAAGGAUCGGCUAA
rnacentral:rRNA from 1 species